rnacentral:rRNA from 1 species
AGUGAACGCUGGCGGCAGGCCUAACACAUGCAAGUCGAGCGGCAGCGCGGGGCAACCUGGCGGCGAGCGGCGGACGGGUGAGGAAUACAUCGGAAUCUACCCUGUCGUGGGGGAUAACGUAGGGAAACUUACGCUAAUACCGCAUACGAACUGAGGUUGAAAGCGGCGGACCGCAAGGCGUCGCGCGAUUGGAUGAGCCGAUGUCCGAUUAGCUAGUUGGCGGGGUAAAGGCCCACCAAGGCGACGAUCGGUAGCUGGUCUGAGAGGACGACCAGCCACACUGGAACUGAGACACGGUCCAGACUCCUACGGGAGGCAGCAGUGGGGAAUAUUGGAAAAUGGGCGCAAGCCUGAUCCAGCCAUGCCGCGUGGGUGAAGAAGGCCUUCGGGUUGUAAAGCGCUUUUGUCCGGAAAGAAAUCCUGUCGGUUAAUACCCGGCGGGGAUGACGGUACCGGAAGAAUAAGCACCGGCUAACUUCGUGCCAGCCGCCGCCGUAAGAC